UAAGCGGAGGNAAAGAAACUAACAAGGAUUCCCCUAGUAACUGCGAGUGAAGCGGGAAAAGCUCAAAUUUAAAAUCUGGUGGUCUUUGGCCGUCCGAGUUGUAAUUUAGAGAAGCGUCUUCCGCGCUGGACCGUGCACAAGUCUCCUGGAACGGAGCGUCGUAGAGGGUGAGAAUCCCGUCUUUGGCAUGGACACACCAGGGCUUUUGCGAUGCGCUCUCGAAGAGUCGAGUUGUUUGGGAAUGCAGCUCAAAAUGGGUGGUGAACUCCAUCUAAAGCUAAAUAUUGGCGAGAGACCGAUAGCGAACAAGUACCGUGAGGGAAAGAUGAAAAGCACUUUGGAAAGAGAGUGAAACAGUACGUGAAAUUGUUGAAAGGGAAACGCUUGAAGUCAGUCGCGUCGUCCGAGACUCAGCCUCGCCUCGGCUUGGCGUACUUCUCGGCCCGACGGGUCAGCAUCAAUUUCGCCUCUCGGAUAAUGGCGAGGGAAAAGUGACACCUUUACGGUGUGUUAUAGUCUCUCGUCGCAUGCGAGGGUCGGGAUUGAGGAACUCAGCACGCGCCCUCGGGCGUCGGGGCUUUCGCCCACGAUACGUGCUUAGGAUGUUGGCGUAAUGGCUUUAAACGACC
rnacentral:rRNA from 1 species